rnacentral:rRNA from 1 species
ACGAACGCUGGCGGCGUGCUUAACACAUGCCAGUCGAACGGAAAGGCCCUGCUUUUGUGGGGUGCUCGAGUGGCGAACGGGUGAGUAACACGUGAGUAACCUGCCCUUGACUUUGGGAUAACUUCAGGAAACUGGGGCUAAUACCGGAUAGGAGCUCCUGCUGCAUGGUGGGGGUUGGAAAGUUUCGGCGGUUGGGGAUGGAUUCGCGGCUUAUCAGCUUGUUGGUGGGGUAGUGGCUUACCAAGGCUUUGACGGGUAGCCGGCCUGAGAGGGUGACCGGCCACAUUGGGACUGAGAUACGGCCCAGACUCCUACGGGAGGCAGCAGUGGGGAAUAUUGCACAAUGGGCGGAAGCCUGAUGCAGCAACGCCGCGUGCGGGAUGACGGCCUUCGGGUUGUAAACCGCUUUCGCCUGUGACGAAGCGUGAGUGACGGUAAUGGGUAAAGAAGCACCGGCUAACUACGUG